UGCUAGCUUGUCCGCGGCCGCACUGGUUU
rnacentral:sRNA from 1 species